CCCUAACCUCUAUCGCGCCCAAGCUCUCUCGGUCUCUUCUCGCCCAAGCUCUCUUCCCUCUCUUCUCGCCCAAGCUCUCUCUCUCUCUCUCUCGCCCAAGCUCCGCAGCUCGAACAAGACAUAGUCGAGGUCCGAAAAGAUCGAGAAAAAGGCGCCAGUUGUCUCUCAUGCUCAUUGAUUGUGUUGAUCUUUCAUUUAAUUUGGUUUUCAGUGUUUGUGAUUUUCGGCCAAAGGUCGACUAGAUCUCUCUCCUCUCCAUCAACUCCUCCUCUUUCGCUACGGUGAGUCCACCCCGGUGGUCAGAGAUCGGUGACGGAGGAGAGAGAUUCCUCCAAAUCCACUUUCUCUCUCCUUUCCCUCUCUCUCGUCUGUGCUUCUCUCUUCUCUCUCGUCUGUACUCUGGUCUCAAGUAAACAUUGAGGCAAAGAAUCCAAGGAGGAUCUGAAGGAAGCCUGCUGGUCUCUCUUGUUUCAUGAUUUUGUGGCGAAGUGCUUGACAAAAGAACAUCGGGUUCGGGCGUGAAGAAGAGUGACGGGUGGGAGAUCCGGAGCUCAGCUUUCCCAUCACAUUUCAGUUAAUUGUGAGUAGUAGUGGUGCCAUUUGAUUAUGUUUUUGAUGUUAAAGAUUUAAUCUUUAAACCUAAUUUAGUCAUUGCUCAGUUUUGAAUUGGGAAUUUACUAUGGAUUACAGAGUGUCUCUGUUUUGCUUCUGUUUUUCAACUUCUGAACUUUAGUUUUAGCUGAUUUCAUGCUUUUCGGGUAAUGAAUAUUGCAAUGAUUGAGAGGAAGAAUGGUUUGAAAAAUUUUCAGGGCGCUGGUUCGAUAACCAUGGGGAAUACUUGUUAUCUCAAUUCGGUGUUGCAGUGCUUGACAUAUAUUGAGCCUUUAGCUGCCUACUUGCAAAGUGGCAGGCAUCGAAAUUAUGUGAGUACCCCGCUAAUGUUUAUUUGUUUGUUGAUGUACUUGGUUUUGGGGAUUUAUAUGUAGUUUAAGGUAAGUCAUUAUAACAGGAGCUAUUGAGUUAUUUAGUAUUGUCUACUUUUCUGUCCUUUUCUUUUGCUAGUUCAAAUUAAUCCUAAUGUGUUCCUGUUGCUCAAAAUCCUAUUGGGUUAUGUUUGUUUGGACUGAAAAUUAGCUAAAGAACAAUAUCCUAAUGUCUUAUUAUAUAAUGGCCAGAUACAAGUGCUCCAAGGAUAAACAUAUGCAACUGUUGAGAGAUCCAAAUGAAUGGUCUGACAGAGAAGUAACCGCGACCCUUUUCGAUCUGUUAGGUGAUGACUAUCAAGACGACUUAACUCAGCUUGCUACUAUGGUGGUGGUUCCUACUGCCACCCAGCCCAAGCCGUUUUCAGCGUGCUAAGUCUACCAAGCUCCCCUCCAAGCCUCUCCCUCCUGCUCAACCUGCUCAUUAUACUCAGCGUGCACAUGGCUUGAAGGGUGUCUUUAUAAUUGAUUUUGAUGUUCACCACGGGAAUGGGACAAAUGAUGCUUUCUAUGAGGAUCCGGAUAUAUUCUUCCUUUCAACUCACCAAGUAAGAAAGGAGUUUGGUCACUUGACAUAGGUUUUUAACUGGAUAUCGAAUUGGAGUUUUCUCGUAUGUGGUCCCAAUAUUUAUAGCAAAAAUCGCGCCAAAAAUCUCCAUAGAGGGCUUACAACACUAAAUCAGGUAGGGCAGAUAUGAGCAUUGGUCCUAACUUAAAACUAUAUGAUCAUUAACAUACUGUUUUCCUGUUGCCUAUGGUUGUUCUGCAACUCAUGAUUGUUAGUGGAUCGUCAGUUUCAUUUUGUAAUAGGAACAAUUAUAAGUUGGAGGACACUUAGGGCCUGCUUUGGUUGCUCUUUACAAAGCAGUUUCAUUUUGUAAUAGGAACAGUUUCAUUUUGUUUUCUGUUAUUAAAUCCUUUUGUUAGUUGGCCAUAGAUGUUAAGUUACAUAGAUUUACAAAUGUCUUGUUUUCUUUAAUAAAGUUGAGUUCUGUAUCAACUUUGUUUAAACCACUUUAGAAGUCCCAUGUGUUUACUUUUUUUGUACUCUGCUAUUUUUUCUGGAACCACUUUUGAAUAUUUCUUUACCAGAUCCAGAUUAGUAAAAGUUGAAGCCUUGGUAGUGUAGCUUGUAGUUUUCACUUGGUUAGUGAAUUUAUUUGAUAAGAUAGUUUUGGUAACUUAGAGGAAGGGUUAAGUCCAUUGUUUUAGUGAGAAACAAUUUUCAAAUGAAUCUGAUGAAGUAAUGGAUUUGCUAUUUGGUGCUUGUACAUGCAAUUGUGGUUGGACUUCAGAGUGUUGUUCGCUAACAUCUCAAAAUGGAACUUUUGUUGCAGAUGGUUCUGGGGUGAGGUGCCUCAAUUGCAUUUAAUGUCUAUUUAUGGUCAAAAAGUGCAAGUUCCUAGUGCAAUUAUCAUCGAUGGUGAAUGUCCUUAACGUCUAUUCUUACUCCCAAUUUAUUUUUGAGUUGAGAAUGCGUAACCUUUACUUUUAUUAUCAUUGUGGGGUAGGGUGCAAGAAUUAAACUUCUUAUAUUGGUGCAUGAUUCAUUUCUUAUUUGGUCGAGAAGUAUGCACACUUAGAGCUAUGCAUUAUUUUAGUAAAAUUAUCAUCUAACAUCAUUGCUUUAACUUUAUCUAGAUUCUACGUAGUUCGUGCUCUCAUUUUCAGUUGUAUUUUGGUACUAUUUAUAGCAGGUAUGCCUUUCUAUCAUUUUAAUUGUCAAUACUCAGAUGUUCUAGUCAAACAACUUAAUAUUCAUACUUGUGUACAUGUUCUAUACUCUUUCAGUCAGUUUAUUGUACUAGUUCUUUUUUUAUCUAAGGUGAAAUACAAGUUUGAACUAAAAUUUUCAGUUGAAAGUAUAUGCGGACUGAACUACUAAUCUACUAGACUACCUUAAUCAUCAUGCGGCAUGUGGGCUCUGACUCUCAAUUAGCCAAUGGCUUGAAUAUUUGGUAGCACAUAGAGCUCUUACGUGAUUAUGUAUAUAGGAUGCAAGUGAAACCAUAUUUGCAGCCUGUGGUUGUUUCUAUUUCAAUCUGUCAUUAUGGUGGUGAGUUGCUAUCUAGUUUUCCUCUAGAGUAAUAUCUUUCUUGCUUGCAUUAGUUCUUGGUGUUACGAUUCUGAUCUUGUUACUUCUUCUCUUCAUACGCACUUCACCUACUUCAUGUGCUUAUAUUCAGAUACUGAGUUUGCCAAAGCAUGGAGACAACAACUCAAAGAAGCCUGGAAAAAAAAAAAGCCAAAGUUUCCUAGGCAUAAGCUGGCAUACACUUGGGUGCUGCAAUUCUUUAUCAUCGAUCCUGAACUAGUACAUUGGUGCCACAAUCUUUAUGUAUGAAGAAAUUCUUAUCAAUCUGCCACAAUGGGAUUUAGUUAUUUAUUUCGCUGAUGUGAGGUUGUAAUUGUUGGUUGGUUUAGUUAUAAUGGAUUUGAUAUUGAAGUUUAACUUCAGAUGCAUGUAUAAUAGUUUUCA